GAUGCGGUUUAGUGGAAUAACAUCUGAUUCCAGAAAGGGAAAUGGUCAGGGGACUGUUUCUAGAAUCCAGAAGGUCAUCCGUUCGAAUCGGGUAGGGGUCA